rnacentral:rRNA from 1 species
GAUGAACGCUGGCGGCGUGCCUAACACAUGCAAGUCGAACGGGGUUAAAGAGAAAUUUUCGGAUGGAUCUUUAACUUAGUGGCGGACGGGUGAGUAACGCGUGGAUAACCUGCCUUGCACAGGGGGAUAGCAGCUGGAAACGGCUGGUAAUACCGCAUAAGCGCACAGCAUCGCAUGAUGCAGUGUGAAAAACUCCGGUGGUACAAGAUGGACCCGCGUCUGAUUAGCUAGUUGGUGAGAUAACGGCCCACCAAGGCGACGAUCAGUAGCCGAUCUGAGAGGAUGAACGGCCACAUUGGGACUGAGACACGGCCCAGACUCC